GCCCAGCUCACAAAUUCAAGGAAAUGUCCCAUUCUCACGUUUUCAACCAGACAAUACAAGGCCUGAGGAACGAGGCUAAUCACAACUACCAACCACUUUACAGCCUGAAGGGUCGCCAAUCCCGAAGACUUUAUCUCAAUUUCACUAUCACUACCAACCCAAUAGUCCAUUAGUCUGAAAGAGAAACCCAGGCUAUCAUAAGAUCAAAGACUUGUAAUUAUAUAAAGGAAAGAUAUAAUAAUCGCGCGUACCCUUUUUUUUUAGAAUCUUUUUUUUUUUAUCAUUUUUCUAUGUUGAUGGGUUGAGAACCACACCAUAAAUAAGAUAAGAAAAAAAGAUUCUAAAAAAAGGGUAAGAA
rnacentral:misc_RNA from 1 species